rnacentral:rRNA from 1 species
GAUGAACGCUGGCGGCGUGCUUAACACAUGCAAGUCGAACGGUGAACGAGGGAGCUUGCUCCCUCCGGAUCAGUGGCGAACGGGUGAGUAACACGUGAGCAAUCUGCCCUGGACUCUGGGAUAAGCGUUGGAAACGACGUCUAAUACCGGAUACGAGACGUGGGGGCAUCCCCAACGCCCGGAAAGAACUGCGGUCCAGGAUGAGCUCGCGGCCUAUCAGCGAGUUGGUGAGGUAACGGCUCACCAAGGCGACGACGGGUAGCCGGCCUGAGAGGGUGACCGGCCACACUGGGACUGAGACACGGCCCAGACUCCUACGGGAGGCAGCAGUGGGGAAUAUUGCACAAUGGGCGCAAGCCUGAUGCAGCAACGCCGCGUGAGGGACGACGGCCUUCGGGUUGUAAACCUCUUUUAGCAGGGAAGAAGCGAAAGUGACGGUACCUGCAGAAAAAGCACCGGCUAACUACGUGCCAGCAGCCGCCGUAACAC